UCAUUUACAUGUGGACAGGCAGGUGAGUGUGGGAGAAAAUAGUUUGAGCUAUGUCGCGAACACACCGUCACCUGACGGGAUUAAGAGUCCUGUCGCUUUGCCAGAGCAUCUUCCUUUGAACCAGGAGUCACCACAGGCCGUCGGUCCGCUCACCUGGACGGACGCUCAGUAACCGGAAGAUUCAUCUCUUUUGUUUCUACCUUAACAGUGUUGGUCCAGAUGUAAGGGCACAUGCCUCACAGACCUGAUCAGUACUUCCUCACCACCAGCUGUCUGUCACCAUGGUGAUGCAGGUGUUGAUGGCCCCUGCUGUGUCCGUGCUGGUUUCCACUGUGCUGUCGCUGCUCAGCCUGGCUCUGCUGCUGCUGCUGUGUGUCAUCAGGAAGAAAAGGAGGAUGGAGGGAACAUACAGGCCCAGUGCGGAAGAGAGGAAACAGACGGGAUCGGGGGGGGGCGAAAAACCAAGCCUGCCUCUCCCAUUGCCUAAAGAGGAACGCCUCAUAUGACAGACGGUUGGAGGUGGACCCACCCUCUGUCCUCUGUCCCUGUGUGACCUGUGGACCCAUUCCUCCUGUUCUCUGACGUCUCUGUGCUGCGCUCCUCUAGAAUGAUCUAUGUUUGCCUUUGGGGCCAGAAAAUCUUCAAAAACACUAUUUGUUUGUUUUUCUUCUUGGGGACAACAAAUACAUAGAUCAGACUUUCAAUUGAAUCCCCCGACUCACUGAAUGGGAAGGGAAAAUGUGUGUCAUCUCAGAUCCUGUUGUAUUGCUUCAUAAAAUUCCCUCACUCCCUUUGUUUUGCCGGAUAAGAAACAUGAGCUGAAGUAUAUUUUGUAUUGUAGAGAGAUGAGUAUAUUUUUACUGUACUGUCUGUUCUGUGUAUUUAUAUCUAAAACAUUUUGUGUUUUACACUAUUUCCAGUUAUGAAGGAUAUUGAUUAAAACGAUUACUGUGAUGCACUUUCAUGUCAAGCUCUAAGAAGCUCAAUGUCUCUAAAUCAGUAUGUGCGGUACACGAGGUGUUCUAUUAAUAAACCAGGUAUGUGAAUACCUUUUUUUACCCAAGUCUUUGAAUAUUGAAGGAAACGGGACGUUAGAUUUUCAAAAUAGUUUGUUUAUUAUGUUUUAAGUUCAUAUUCUGUGUGAAGACCAGACAAAUGCAAUAUCCUCAUUGUCAGUUAUAGUAUUUAAUAACUUUCUCACACACCUUAUAACAAAUAUUCAUGUAUCAAUGACAAAUGGGCCAUCAUACAGUAGCAGAAAUGCAAAACAUGAAUGUAUUUCUUUCAUUUCAACUACAUUUCCUAGUUGUACAAAUCUGUUCAUAUUUGGCAAAUCUUGGCAAA